UACGUAGGGUGCAAGCGUUAAUCGGAAUUACUGGGCGUAAAGCGUGCGCAGGCGGUGAUGUAAGACAGAUGUGAAAUCCCCGGGCUCAACCUGGGAACUGCAUUUGAAACUGGCGGGCUUGAGUGUGGCAGAGGGGGGUGGAAUUCCGCGUGUAGCAGUGAAAUGCGUAGAGAUGCGGAGGAACACCGAUGGCGAAGGCAGCCCCCUGGGCCAACACUGACGCUCAGGCACGAAAGCGUGGGGAGCAAACAGG
rnacentral:rRNA from 1 species